rnacentral:rRNA from 1 species
UACGGAGGGGGCUAGCGUUGUUCGGAAUUACUGGGCGUAAAGCGCACGUAGGCGGCUUUGUAAGUUAGAGGGGAAAGCCCAGGGCUUAACCCUGGAAUUGCCUUUAAGACUGCAUCGCUAGAAUCGUGGAGAGGUGAGUGGAAUUCCGAGUGUAGAGGUGAAAUUCGUAGAUAUUCGGAAGAACACCAGUGGCGAAGGCGACUCACUGGACACGUAUUGACGCUGAGGUGCGAAAGCGUGGGGAGCAAACAGG